UACGAAGGGGGCUAGCGUUGCUCGGAAUUACUGGGCGUAAAGCGCGCGUAGGCGGAUCGCUAAGUCAGGGGUGAAAUCCCAGGGCUCAACCCUGGAACUGCCUUUGAUACUGACGAUCUGGAGAUCGGGAGAGGUGAGUGGAAUUCCGAGUGUAGAGGUGAAAUUCGUAGAUAUUCGGAGGAACACCAGAAGCGAAGGCGGCUCACUGGCCCGAUACUGACGCUGAGGCGCGAAAGCGUGGGGAGCAAACAGG
rnacentral:rRNA from 1 species